ensembl:lncRNA
GCUUGUUUUAUGUUGGUAUUUUUUUUCUUUCUUUCUUUCUUUCUUUCUUUCUUUUUUUUUUUUUUUUUUUUUUUUUUUUGUCUGCCUAAAAAUGAGUUAAUUUUCUCAUUUGUGUAAGUAGCUGUUAGGGAGGGAACACCCUUCUACAUUUAAUUUGCUCCUGAUGGAUUUGUCAGGGCUUGUAGCCGUUUGGCCUGUGUGAGACUCCCCACGAGUUUAGGCACAGAGCUGCAGGGCAGCUUGCAGGGCUGGUGGCUGCCUCCCUGCUCUGUACCUCUGGCAUCAGGAGCUCCCUGUGUCAUAGGGCUUCCAGGGGGCCUUCUGACAAGUGGGUUUAUGUCACACAGCAGAGUGACUCGGAGCAGGACGCCAUGCGCUGCCUUAGGCAGCAGUGCCCACACAAGCCCCUUGAUCCAGGAUUUUUGUCGAGGGCAAAUCCCAGCACAGCAGGCGGGGAGUGGCCCUGUGGGGGCGGGUGGAAUGCAGGGCCCCGUCAGCUGGGGGAGAUGCCCGGCACGCGCCCGGCCCCGCCGUGGCGGGGAUGCCUGUCCCAGCAGGGAUGCCUGCACCGCUGAGGUCAUGGUGCAGCAGCUGGCGGGAGCUCACCUCCCUGGCUGUGCUGUCUGAGCCAUCACUCAGGUUCUCUGAGCUGAGGUCUUUGUGCCAUGCCCAGCUUCAGCAGGUGCUACAAGGCCAGGCUGGGAGCUGGUUGCUGCAUGGUGGGCAGGAGGUGCUGGCCCCCAGCUUCCUGCCAAUUGCAUCGGGACAAUGCGGCGCUGAGCCGUCUGCCUCUGCCCACGUGUGCAUAUGUGUGUCUUGGUACCUGCACCUCGUGAGCUCGGAUCUUGAGCAUCUCAGUGCUCUGACCAAACCAUGCUGUUAGUUGAUAAACCCGGGGAUUUGGGCAGCAAGGUGACCUUGAGGCACUGAUGGGAGGCAUUACGCUGGUGCUCACUGAGCCAGGACAGCACCCAAUCCUACUGAAGAUCGGAGUGUGAAGUGCCUUUAGGUCAGGGACCUGGGUUUGGCUUCUCCAGUGAUAUACCAGGGAAAAUGAGCCUGUCUUGUUUCACCCCUCUUUCUGCACCAUUUUGUGUCUGCUGAGUGCAUUUCUCUGCCUGACUUUGUCCCCUUGCCCUGAUCUUGCUGCUUUUACACAUGGGGGCCAGUGGACAUCUCGGGCCAUUUCUGUCCUUCCCGGUGCUGCUGUCCCCUUGCAGCCUCUGCUUGCAGCCAGGUGGCUGUUGGUCCUGAGUGUCUGUGCCCCAGGGCCCGUGGGACACGCUUGCUGCGUGUCAUGUCCUUGCUGAAGGCUGCAGCUGCCUUUGAGCGCUGUGUCCUUCCCCUCGGAGCCGUCUGUGCUGUUCCUGGCUGCUCCAGCGGCGCGGUGGUUGCCAGCAAGUGGCACUGUUCCCCUGCCGGGGCAUCCCCAGGCUCUGCCUCUUAUCUGACCACAGUGCUUGGAGAAAGUGCACGACUUUCUGGGAACACAGCCCUCCCUCAGAUCUGCCCAACAACAGUAUUAAUAGAUGUUCUGGUUUGUUGUUUUUUUUUUUCUCCUUUUCUCGUGUUAAAUGCUGUUAAGACUUGAGCGUGCUCAGGAUGUAGUCAGAUAAUGGGAGGCAUGGACAGCUUCACUGGCUGUACUGUUUUCUCUCCCGCUGUUUCUAUCUUCCAGAGCCACGGUUGUUUCAUUGUUCUUCGCCUUGUGAGAAACAGAGAUGUCAGUCAGACCUCGCACCCUUUGCGGCUGGGGCUAACCAGGCUCUGGGAUGUGCUUGUUCUGUUACAGAGCCAUCAGGGAAAGCAUUUCUGGUGCAAACACAGCCCGGAGACCUGGGCUAAACUUUUUUUUUUCAUCUGAGGUUCAUCUGUAGCAAGGAGGAGGUAUUGGAUUAACACUUAACAAAUUCAGAUAUUUAAUCUCUGCAGACACACUUCACAAAGAUGAGUUUGCCUGUUUGAGCAGGAGCGAUCAUGCAGCUGAGCUAUCGGCUGUGGCUCUGGAGGUGAAGCCAGGCUGGUGCCUCACACUGUGCCCCUGGAGCUCCUUUCUCUGCCCUGUGGUGGGGACCAGGCUGUGGCUGCUGCCCCUGCAGCACUGCAGUAAAUUGAGAACAGAGCGGCUGAUGAGAGCACAGCAGUGCAUGCUGCAGAGCCUCACAGGGGCGGUGGCUUCUGUCCCUCGUGCCCACAUUGGGCACUUCUGUUGAUGUAGGUGGGCUCUGGACAGGAAAAUAUUUGUUUUUUUUCCUUCUUCAAAGAAAUCAGCCCCAUUCUCAUAGCUUUUAAGGGGGACUUUGAUAUUUUAGCUGUUUGAUGCCUGAGCAAUAUCGCUCAUGUUCAGAACCUACCUCUGCCGUGGUGCUGAGGAGGCGGCACGCAGGGCCGGUCGCCGCAUUUUAGCUGUUUUAACUUUAUAACUUUUCACUGUGUUUGUUGUCCCUGGGCCAGCUGGGGCCACUCAGAGCUGCUGCGGUGUCACUGUGAGCCGCCGCGGGCGGUGCUCCAUGUCUGCUGCAGUGCUCUGCCAUAGGGCUGUGUAUGGCCGCCAUCAAACUGUGCUGGCAGCGGGCUCACAUCAGAGCCUGCAGGGCUGCUCCUCACCGCCUGGCUGAAGUCCUCAGAAGAGGGGGACCACAGAAGCCCAAAGAUGGGGCCAUGGGACUGCAGCUUGGACACAGGCAGAUGGCGGCCAUCGCUGGGCAGUAUUUUCAGCACAACAAUUGGAAUGUAAGGGAAGGAGGUUCCCAUAGCACUGGAUCUUGCGUUUCAACUUCAGGAAGCUGCUGGUGCCAAGCUGGCACAGCUCAAAGAAAGUUGGAAGAAUUAAAAUAAUUCGGCAUCUGUGCAAACUUUAGUUGGGACUGAACAAUGGAAACACUCUUGGGCAGUGGGAUUUCUGCAACAAGCAAUUGUUGUGACAACAGUCUUGUCUGGAAGUCUGACCUACAGAAGAAUUUACGCGACGGGUUUCAGUCCAGUGCUGUUCUGAAAGCUCCUAAGCACACACUUAAAGAUAGGCAUGUACACAAAUCCUAUUAAAGUGAACAAGUAAUCAGUACAUCCUUGUGUGCUAUUCCUGAACGGGGUGUGUAUAAGAAUUGUACCUUCGCUGUGCUGUCCCGUGAGCAGGCAAUACUGCAGAAAGCUGUUUGAUCAGUCUGAGCACGCGUUCAGAAGUCUGCAAGUGCUAAGGAGAGAUGCACUACAGUUUGUUUAGAUGACUUAAUGUUGCAGAUUCUGGUGCUUUUCUGAAAAUAAGUAUCGUUCUAUAGCCAUGGUUUACCUCUAGGAAUACUUGGUAAUUUUUAUGGUAGAUGUUAUUUCUUCAAGGUUGUGAAUGGGUUAUUUAUAUUUUUGUAAAUCCUAUGUCGUUAGCAUUAUAAUUCUGAAG